rnacentral:tRNA from 1 species
GCUGUAGCUCAGUGGCAAAGCGCUUGCCUAGCAUGUGUGAGGCACUGGGUUCAAUCCUCAGCACA